GAAAGCUCAGCUGACCCCGAGGCUCUUCUGGUCAUGCUUAGAGUGGGCCCUACAUCCAAUGACUGGUGUUCUCAUAAGGAGAGAGAGACAAAGAGUAGACAGACACAAGGGAGAAGGCCGUGUGAAGAUGGAGACAGAGAUUGGAAUGAUACAGCCACAAGCCAAGAAACAUCUGCGGCCGUCAGAAGUUGGAAGAGGUUAGAUAAGAAUUUGACACCUGCUGAAAUCUCCAGGCUGGCUCCUCCCAAGGUCAAAUUGCACAUCUUGCCAACGAGAACAGCCUUCACUUCUUGAGCAUCUACUCAGCAGCAAGUGAUUUCUCUAAUCUUCACAACACCCUCUCAAGGCAAGGGAUCAUGGGCCACACUUGGCAAUCUAGGAAAGUGAAGUUCAAGAACAAGCCCCAGGACACACAGCUAGUGACAGCGAGGCACAGAGCUGGGAUUCCAACCCAGGCCUGUCUAACCCUAAAGCUCCUCCUAUCCACCUCCUCCUUGCUGCCACAGAAGGUGACUCAGAGGUACUCAGUCUGGAGAAUUCAAGCCAGUAUCCCAGGAAGUGGAAUUUUCUCCAGUGUUCUAGGAAGGAGGGAUUACCAUGGCAUGGGGUGGGCCAGGUAGACACAAGAGGCAGUGAAGGUGCAUAAAGUGGUGAUUAAAGGGAAUGGAGUCUACUGUGGUUUGGAUAUGGUUGCGUCAACCUAAACUCAUGUUGAAAUUUGACCCUCGGUGUGGUGGUGGUGGGAGGUGGGGCCUAGUGGGAGGUGUCUGGGUCAUGGGGGCAGAUCUCUCAUGAAGGGCUUAGUGCCAUCCUCACAGUGGAGAGUGAGUUUUCACCCUGGCAAGACUGGAUUCUUGUAGGAAUGGAUUUGUUCCCAAGACAGUGGGUUGUUAUAAAGCCAGGAUGCCCCUUGGGUUUUCCCUUCUUUGCAAGUGUUCACUCUCCCUUUGACCUUCUGUAUGUCGCAGCCCUCACCAGAGGCUGAGCAGAUGCUGAGGCCAUGCUUCUUGAUUCUCCCAGCCAACAGAUCUGUAAGCUGAAUAAACCUCUC
rnacentral:lncRNA from 1 species